rnacentral:rRNA from 1 species
GUGAGGAAUAUUGCGCAAUGGAGGCAACUCUGACGCAGCCAUGCCGCGUGCAGGAAGAGGGCGCUACGCGUUGUAAACUGCUUUUAACCGGGAAGAAACCCCAGGACGUGUCCUGGGUUGACGGUACCGGAGGAAUAAGCACCGGCUAACUUCGUGCCAGCAGCCGCGGUAAUACGAAGGGUGCAAGCGUUAUCCGGAUUCAUUGGGUUUAAAGGGUGCGUAGGCGGAGCGUUAAGUCAGUGGUGAAAUCCUGCAGCUUAACUGUAGACUUGCCAUUGAUACUGGCGCUCUUGAGUGCGCUUGAAGUGGGCGGAAUGUGCCGUGUAGCGGUGAAAUGCUUAGAUAUGGCACAGAACACCAAUUGCGAAGGCAGCUCACUAAGGCGAUACUGACGCUGAGGCACGAAAGCGUGGGGAUCGAACAGGAUUAGAUACCCUUGUAGUCC